GUUUGGGGCGAGGGGGUGGUGGGGGGGUGUCCCCGUGUGCCCCUCUCUCACCCCACUGCAGCACCCAGCGUGUCCCCAGCGUGUCCUCGGGGAUUUGGGGGUGACUCUGGGUGCUGGUGUCCCCCUGCCUGGCUCCCCAGAGUGUCCCCAGGGAUUUUGGGGUGACUCUGGGUGCUGGUGUCCCCCGCUGUGUCCCCAGCAUGUCCCCGGGGAUUUUGGGGUGACUCUGGGUGCUGGUGUCCCCCUGCCUGGAUCCCCAGCAUGUCCCCUCACCGUGUCCCCAGAGCUUUGGGGUGCUGGUGUCCCCCUGCCUGGCUCCCCAGUGCCCUGGGGGAUUUUGGGGUGACUCUGGGUGCUGGUGUCCCCCGCUGUGUCCCCAGGAAUUUGGGGGUGACUCUGGGUGCUGGUGUCCUCCUGCCUGGCUCCCCAGCAUGUCCCUGGGGAUUUUGGGGUGACUCUGGGUGCUAGUGUCCCCCACUGUGUCCCCAGAGAUUUUGGGGUGACUCUGGGUGCUGGUGUCCCCCUGCCUGGCUCCCCAGCACGUCCCCUCACCGUGUCCCCAGAGCUUUGGGGUGCUGGUGUCCCCCUGCCUGGCUCCCCAGCACGUCCCCUCACCGUGUCCCCAGAGCUUUGGGGUGCUGGUGUCCCCCUGCCUGGCUCCCCAGCAUGUCCCUGGGGAUUUUGGGGUGACUCUGGGUGCUGGUGUCCCCUGCUGUGUCCCCAGGGAUUUGGGGUGACUCUGGGUGCUGUGAGUGUCAUGGUGUGUCCCUCAGGUGCCGUGGGUGCCACCCCCCACCCUGGCCCCUUGUUCCCCCCCCUCCUCUCCCUCUUUGUGUCCCCACAGUGGGGUGCCCAGCCAGGUGCCGGCGGCGUCCCCCUCUGCCCACAACAUCAGCCAGGGCCCCGGGGUGCCAGUGGGUCACCAGUGGGUGCUCAGGGUGCUGUGGGGUGUCAGUGGGUCCCCAGGGUGCUGGCAUGUCCCCAGGGUGCCAGUGGGACACCAGUGGGUCACCAGUAGGUCCUUGGGUGCUGUGGGGUGCCAGCAGGUCCCCAGGGUGCUGGCAUGUCCCCGGGGUACCAGUGGGUCCUUGGGGUGCUGUGGGGUGCCAG
rnacentral:lncRNA from 1 species